CCAAUGGGAGUGAGCGGCAGGUCUGGAGGCGGAGAAAAGAGGGAGAGAAGUUGGAGGAGAGAGUGAGAGACAGAGUCGGAGAGACGGAGAGCCGUAGAUUGAGUGUUUGUCGGUGGAGUCACAUAUUAAAUCGCAGACUUUACAGCUCAUCUGGGGACUCUUACUUCACAUCCACGCCGUCGUCUUUUUCCCCCACCACCUCCGGUUUCAUGCUGCUUACGUGCAGCCACAGGUUGACCGAUUUAUCCCAGUCACCAUGGAUUAUUCCUCUUCAUCCACUGCCGAUUGUCACUGACAGGAUCAAAAUGGGAACGAUCAAUACAUCACCGAUGACUGGGAGAGAGACAAACUGAUCUUAUCAAGUGAGCGGAAGACGGAGCCAUCAUCAGCGGGGAAGCGACGCGCAUUUUCGAGAGAUAAGACCUGUGGAGGACCUAUAUGAAGGGAGACGAAGCGAAAAGAUGAUGGGAUGGCCGUGACAACAUGAAAAAGAAAAAGUGCUGUGGUCUGCUUUCAUCCAGUCCGUGAUUCGACACAACUAACCUGGGGGGAAAGGGACCGAGGCAGAAGAGGUCGGAGACAGGUGUGCAGCCACAGCUGUGAUCAUGGAGCCUCCCCCUUCUCUGAGCUUGGCUCUGCUAGGAGGGAGCGAGGAUGAGGACCAGCGAUUCCUCCUUCCCCUGGGCAGUAUAUCCCAUCCUUCCACCGCUGGCACCCAGCCAGGAUCAAACCACUCCAACCACAUGGGAGGAUCAAGCCUCGACCGUCUAAACGGCAGCACCUCAUCCCCCUCGCCUGCCACGCCCAACUUGCCCCCAGCAUCUCUCCCGAAGUUACCACUUUCCUCCGCUGGAGCUCAGCCUUUGCCUCCACCCAUCCCCAAUGCCCUGCACCCCACCAGCACCCCACUCUCUUCCUGUCUGGGUUCACAGCACAGCCUGAGUGGGGACAACUCCCCAGUCUACAACGCCCUUUUUUACUCGUCCCAUUCGCCGUCCAUGGAGCGGGAGAGGGACAGAGAGCGCGACAGGGACAGGGAGAGGGGGUGCAAACACAGACAGGCCAGCCCUCUGGUUCACCGUAGGGACAGUAACCCCUUCACGGAGAUUGCCAUGAGUUCCUGUAAGUACACAGGUGGCGUCAUGAAGCCCCUGAGCCGCCUCAGCGCAUCCCGGAGAAACCUAAUCGAGUCAGACAGCAGCAGUGAAACCAAAGAGGGCGCCGUUUCAGCUGUUGCUGGCGCAACUGCUGCUGGGGGACAUGACCGGCAGCGAGAAGCCCCCCCUACCUGUUCGGUGACCCAGUCCUCCACCAACCAACCCCCAAUUCAGAGCCCACCAGAGAUUGUGAUUUCAUCCAAAGAAGAUUCCCCGUACCUCAGAGGAGGUUAUGACAUCACCGACUCCACAUCCAACCAGAUGUCCAUCUACCACCAGAACCACGCACUAGUGGAGAGCAGGCGUUCGCAGUCAGGGAGGGGCAGCAGGCAGGGAGGGGUUGGGGCAGUGGGCACCGGGGCCAGGGGCAGCACCUCCAAGGCUCCCAAACGAAAGAACCAAAACAUUGGGUAUAAACUGGGGCACCGCAGGGCGCUGUUCGAGAAGAGGAAGCGGCUGAGCGACUACGCCCUCAUCUUUGGAAUGUUUGGCAUCGUAGUCAUGGUGAUUGAGACAGAGCUGUCGUGGGGCGUGUACACGAAGAGCUCCAUGUACUCUCUGGCCCUGAAGUGUCUGAUCAGCCUGUCCACUGUCAUCCUGCUGGGGCUCAUCAUAGCUUACCACGCGCGGGAGGUUCAGCUGUUUGUCAUCGACAACGGAGCAGACGACUGGCGAAUCGCCAUGACGAUGGAGAGGGUUCUGCUAAUCGCCCUGGAGCUGCUCGUUUCUGCUGUGCAUCCGGUGCCUGGGGACUUUAAGUUUCAGUGGCGGGCACGGCUGGCCUUCUCGUACGCGCCUUCGCAGGCCGAGGCUGACCUGGACAUGGUGCUGAGCGUGCCCAUGUUCCUGCGCCUCUACCUCAUUGCCAGAGUCAUGCUUCUGCACAGCAAACUGUUCACCGACGCUUCCUCCAGGAGUAUAGGUGCCCUCAAUAAGGUCCAUUUUAACACGCGGUUUGUAAUGAAAACCCUUAUGACGAUCUGCCCUGGGACGGUGCUGCUGGUCUUCAGCAUCUCUCUGUGGAUCAUUGCUGCCUGGACCGUACGAGUGUGUGAGAGGUAUCAUGAUGCCCAGGAUGUGACCAGUAACUUCCUGGGAGCCAUGUGGCUUAUCUCUAUUACUUUCUUGUCUAUUGGCUAUGGAGACAUGGUUCCUCAUACUUACUGUGGCAAAGGAGUCUGUCUGCUCACAGGCAUCAUGGGUGCGGGCUGUACGGCUCUGGUGGUUGCCGUGGUAGCCAGGAAGUUGGAGCUGACCAAGGCCGAGAAACAUGUACACAACUUCAUGAUGGACACGCAACUCACCAAGAGGAUAAAGAAUGCAGCUGCUAACGUACUAAGAGAGACUUGGCUCAUCUACAAACACACCAAGCUGAUGAAGAAGAUCGACCAUUCGAGAGUCCGCAAACACCAGCGGAAGUUCCUCCAGGCUAUACAUCAAUUACGCAGCGUGAAAAUGGAGCAGAGGAAACUCAGCGAUCAGGCCAACACACUAGUGGAUCUCUCAAAGAUGCAGAGUGUCAUGUAUGAGCUCAUGUCCGAGCUCAACGACCGCAGCGAGGACUUGGAACGUCAGAUGCUGUCCCUGGAGCAGCGGGUGGAGCAGCUCACGGCGGGCUUCAACGCCUUGCCCGCUCACCUGUCUGCAACCCUCAGCGCCCAGCAUGCUGCCCUGGUUCACCUGCUCCGGGAGAGGGAUGCAAGGGAUGGUAGAGGAGGAGGAGGAGGUGCUGUGGUCCCACUGUCCCCUGCUGCUUCUUUAACCACUGCGCCAGCUUCAGUGUCUCCAGUCCAGGUCACAGCUCCUGCACCACCCUCAGCUCCGGUUUCUACUUUGGCGUUGGAGUCCCCUCUGUCGCCCCCACCCCUGAGCCCAGAGGGGAGCUUGGAGGCUAGCUCCAACCCCAACACGUGCACCUCUAGCUGCUGAGGACAGCUUUUUUUCUUUUCUUUUUUUUUCUUGGACCAGGAGAGGACAAAUAUGAGGAAAAAACAGGGAGGAAGGACGGGGGCUGCGCUAGUCCUCACACUUCAGACUAAAGGAGAGAAAUGGGAGAUGAGAGAAAUGUCUGGUGAUCCUCGGAAACUAACGCUCCAAGAGGGAGGGAGGAAGACUAUGAGGAGAAAUAAUGGGAUUAAGAUGGAGGGCCUGUAUGAGUGAUGAGACAUGUUAGGGACUUUGGGGCGCUUUACUUGAUGAGGGAAGGAGAAGAAAAAUGGGGAUAAAAUGGAGACUCUAAAAGGUGUGAGGGGGAGGAAGGAUGCCAAGAGGGUGAGAAAUGGAGGUAGAGAGAAUGAGGAGGACGAAAGAGAGAGGAGGAGAAAUAACGAAGAAUAAUUAUAUGAACUCCUAAAUGGAAUCCACUCCAAUUACUGAAGAAUGCCUUUUAUUAUCUCUAUCUCCCUCUCUUCUACGUCUCUCUUUCUCCCUCUCUUUCCUUCCCCCUUCCCAAUCCCUCACUCCCGUCAUCAGGAAUUAAUGACCAUGACUUUUUAUCCUUAUGAUGUAUUUUCUAUCUGAAUGCUAAUUGUGUAUUAACGAGCAUCCCUUUAACAAAAGGUUCGAUCAAUACGACCACGAUUAAAAAAAAUGAAAAAUAAAAAAAUAAAUAACUAGUGGCAUGCACCACACACACACACACACACGAAUCACGUCAUCCACGCAAUACAAGCUAACACAGCACAAACACAAACAUGCAGACUCUCACAAAGGCCCUAUUUACGCUCACACACAGAAAAUAAUGCACUAGCCCACAAGAUGAUACUAAAAGCCAAUACUGCCAAGCACAUGAUGCACUGUCAAUCUCCAUAGAGCACUGCCAAGCGAUGUGGACACACUGUAAAAAAUGUUCAUCGUAACAAUUUAUCUUUUGUGGGUGUGAGCUGAUGCAGUAGUUUAGACUUACGAUGCGUAGUUGUGACAUUUUAACUACUCAGCCGGGAGAAUUGUAACCAUUCAGUGAACUACACAAAUUAUAGAUCAAGCUGAAACAAGCUGAUACAGAGGGACGUGAGUCAUCAUAAUGUCUGUUUGUGAUGAUGACGACAGUAGCUGAUGGUAAAAUAACCUAACACAACUACUACAGGACUUUAUUACUGCAUUUACAGAAUUACAGAUUGAAAUGAACUGAUGUUUAAAGUGUACUUUGCUGUGCUGAAAUGAGACUUUGAUCUUGUUUCAUUUCUGUGGAUGUUUCGUAUGACAGCAGCAGAAAGUGGACAAUUAAUAGUUGUAUUAAGUGCAUUAAUACUGGAGGCGGAUAUUAGAAGAAAGAUUAGCUUAUUAUACACAUAUUUUUUGUACUGGCAUUUAAAAACGGUUGAUUAAUUUCUGAAGAUGAUACCCGUUAAAACAAACCCUGCAGAACUCUAAAGUUGGCUCUUUGCACAAUCUUGAUGCUCCACAUUUAGUGCGAGUUCUCGUUUAAUGCCACUAAAUUUGGGUGUAUUGACCCAAAGAUCUACCGCAGAUACGGUUAGGUCCAUAACUUGUUGGGCAAAGACAUAUUUUUUUUGUUGUUUUGUCUCUCCAUGCCACCACUGUGGAUUAGAAAUCAAACAGGUUGUGAUUGAAGUGCAGAAAUUCAGCUUUAAUUUAAGAGGUUUUACCCAAAAAAUGCAUUAACUUUAUUAAUUAUCCACAUUUUUAUGCACAGUCCCUCAUUUUCAGAGGCUCAAAAGUAAUAAUGGAUUGCAUUUAUAUAGCGCUUUACAAUUCCACUAUUCAUUCACUCUCACAUUCACACACUGGUGGAGGCAAGCCACAGUUGUAGUCACAGCUGCCCUGAGGCAGGCUGACAGAAGCGAGGCUGCCAUAUCGCGCCAUCGGCCCCUCUGGCCAUCACCAGUAGGCGGUAGGGUAAAGUGUCUUGCCCAAGGACACAACAACCAAGACUGUCCAAGCCAGGGCUCGAACCGGCAACCUUCCAAUUACAAGACGAACUGCCAACUCUUUAGCCACGAUCGUAUCUUAUAAAAGCAUCUUCACAAUUGAGAAGCAGCUUCAUAGCUAGGUGAGACCUGUUGCCUUGUUAUUUCAUGACAUGAUUCAAAGAGUGGAAUUUGUAUUUCAUAGUUUUUUAUUGUCAAUCCAAGUGAGGGGGGGUCAUCAUUAGGCUUAAAAAUUCACAAUAAGUCAAUAACUGUCAACUGCUGAGUGACCAAAUUAACCGUCUGGUACAUUCUUGAAAAGAAAGACAACAGAAAACAACUAAAAUGGAUGAUGAAAGAAUGGCUAAAAAACAACUUCACAGUAUCUCUCUGAGUAAAAAAACUCUCACCAGGAUGUACAGUAGGUGAUGUCAAAGUCUACAUUUGUAAGUGUGUAACUGUUAUUACAGAGGGUUUACAAUAAGCUGCAAACCAGUGGUUACACUUAAGAACACAUAGGCUAGAUUAUACUUGCUAAACAAAACAUCUAGAAAUGAAUAUUUAAAUAAAGAUGAGCUUGUGGCAGAAUUAUGGGAAGAGAGAAGGAAGGAGAAGGAAAGAGAGAAACACCUAUUGAUUUGAACAUAACACAUUAUCUGUCAGAAACAGUGGGAGAAGUGUUGGUGGAACCCCAUCACUAGUGUUUAUUGAUGGCGUGACUCCUAACAGAAGUGGCAGGAUGAAUUGUAAAGUGUACAGGGCUGUAUUCUCUGACUCAAAAAGACAUGGAGUAUUCGUCAAUGACCAAGUUAUUCACCUGAUCUCAGCCCAACGGAGCAGCUUUUCAGUUACUGAAGACAAAAACUGAAUGCAGAGAGACCCACAAACAAGCAGCAACUGAAGGCAGCUCCAGUAAAAGCCUGGCAGAGCAUCUCAAGAGAGGAAACACAGCGUUUAGUGAUGUCCAAGGCUGCAAAGGAUAAGUAUUUAAAACAGUCCUUAUUUUUAAAAUCAUGUUAGUUUGUCCAAUUAAAGUUUGAGCCUUUGAAAAUGGGGGACUGCGUCUAAACAGUUAAUGCAAAAACUUAGCAAAGCACCGUGAGUCAAAGCUGAAAGUCUGCACUUCAAUCACAUCCUGAUUACUUGAUUUAAAAUUCACUGUGGAGGUGUACAGAGGCAAAAUCACAAAAGUUGUCUCUUUCUCCAACAAAUUAUGGGCCUAACUGCACUGAAAACAAUCAAAACAAUAAAAAAAAAUCCUUUACUUGACUAAAGUCAGACCGACCUACAUGCAACUCUAUAAAUAUUGUCUGCCAUUGGCACUUGUUAAAAUCCAGCAGUGAUUUAGCUGUAUUACUCUAAGUUGUUUUUAUUAGUUGAUUUUUUUAUGACCUUUCAUAAAGGGAAGUAGAUCUUGUACUUUACUGCCAUUCUUUGUCAAACUUGUGGUCCCAAAACAGCUCGCUGUUAUCAUGAAUGUAUUCUGUGUAAAGAAAUACACUCAAACUCGCUUGCUCAAUCACUUAAACUGCCACACAGACACAGGAACAGACACCCACACGCACACACACACACACAUACACACACCUCGACAACCAAAGUGCUCUCUCUUAAAUGGACUUCAAUAAGAGGCAGGGAACGCUGCUGUCACUGGGGACAAAGGAUAGCAGGAGGCGUUGCAGAUAUCUUGACAAUAUUUCUGAGGGAAUAACUGUGAAAAUCUCGGCAUGGACUUGUUACAGUGCUGUACAUGGACUGCUGUAACAGAUGAUGGUGGACUAUGGAUGAACACAAGGGAACACAAAUAAACCUUACAAAGGAUAAAUGGCCAUGAAGGAACAGAUGUUCAUGAAAUAAAUAAAAUGAAAGACUGAGAUAUAUCUGAGAGGAAUUGUAAUGACGUGAUGGAAAAAGAGACAAGCCUACCUUUACAUUGGAGACAAUAUUGAAAACUAUCUUUUAGCGACACGCUGUGGCCGGAAUACUGAAUUACAUACGCUUGGAAUAUUGUACAGUAUGCUGUUAACGAAAUAUAGCUUUGUAUUGCUUAGUCUUUUCUACCAUUAUGAUUAAACGCAGUUAUAGCUGAUAUCUUACCUUAUUAAACUAUAGUAUUCUUCUCAUUCGUCAUGACAAUUAUAAUAUAUGUAUUAUCAAUACGUUAAAUAAUCACGAACAAGGAAAGUGCCGUUUGAGGUUGAAAUUAUUUUGUAAUUUUAUUUUAUCAGAGAGAAUUAAUAAAGUAUAUAUCUAUAACAUUACAGCU